rnacentral:rRNA from 1 species
UACGGGGGGAGCAAGCGUUGUUCGGAUUUACUGGGCGUAAAGCGCGCGUAGGCGGCUUUGUAAGUUAGAGGUGAAAGCCCGGGGCUCAACCCCGGAAUUGCCUUUAAGACUGCAUCGCUAGAAUCCAGGAGAGGUGAGUGGAAUUCCGAGUGUAGAGGUGAAAUUCGUAGAUAUUCGGAAGAACACCAGUGGCGAAGGCGGCUCACUGGACUGGUAUUGACGCUGAGGUGCGAAAGCGUGGGGAGCAAACAGG